rnacentral:rRNA from 1 species
GCGAACGGGUGAGUAACACGUGAGUAACCUGCCCUUGACUCUGGGAUAAGCCUGGGAAACUGGGUCUAAUACCGGAUACGACCAUCUGGCGCAUGUCAUGGUGGUGGAAAGCUUUUGUGGUUUUGGAUGGACUCGCGGCCUAUCAGCUUGUUGGUGGGGUAAUGGCCUACCAAGGCGACGACGGGUAGCCGGCCUGAGAGGGUGACCGGCCACACUGGGACUGAGACACGGCCCAGACUCCUACGGGAGGCAGCAGUGGGGAAUAUUGCACAAUGGGCGCAAGCCUGAUGCAGCGACGCCGCGUGAGGGAUGACGGCCUUCGGGUUGUAAACCUCUUUCAGUAGGGAAGAAGCGAAAGUGACGGUACCUGCAGAAGAAGCGCCGGCUAACUACGUGCCAGCAGCCGCGGUAAUACGUAGGGCGCAAGCGUUAUCCGGAAUUAUUGGGCGUAAAGAGCUCGUAGGCGGUUUGUCGCGUCUGCUGUGAAAGACCGGGGCUCAACUCCGGUUCUGCAGUGGGUACGGGCAGACUAGAGUGCAGUAGGGGAGACUGGAAUUCCUGGUGUAGCGGUGAAAUGCGCAGAUAUCAGGAGGAACACCGAUGGCGAAGGCAGGUCUCUGGGCUGUAACUGACGCUGAGGAGCGAAAGCAUGGGGAGCGAACAGGAUUAGAUACCCUGGUAGUCCAUGCCGUAAACGUUGGGCACUAGGUGUGGGGGACAUUCCACGUUUUCCGCGCCGUAGCUAACGCAUUAAGUGCCCCGCCUGGGGAGUACGGCCGCAAGGCUAAAACUCAAAGGAAUUGACGGGGGCCCGCACAAGCGGCGGAGCAUGCGGAUUAAUUCGAUGCAACGCGAAGAACCUUACCAAGGCUUGACAUGAACCGGAAAGACCUGGAAACAGGUGCCCCGCUUGCGGUCGGUUUACAGGUGGUGCAUGGUUGUCGUCAGCUCGUGUCGUGAGAUGUUGGGUUAAGUCCCGCAACGAGCGCAACCCUCGUUCUAUGUUGCCAGCGCGUUAUGGCGGGGACUCAUAGGAGACUGCCGGGGUCAACUCGGAGGAAGGUGGGGACGACGUCAAAUCAUCAUGCCCCUUAUGUCUUGGGCUUCACGCAUGCUACAAUGGCCGGUACAAAGGGUUGCGAUACUGUGAGGUGGAGCUAAUCCCAAAAAGCCGGUCUCAGUUCGGAUUGGGGUCUGCAACUCGACCCCAUGAAGUCGGAGUCGCUAGUAAUCGCAGAUCAGCAACGCUGCGGUGAAUACGUUCCCGGGCCUUGUACACACCGCCCGUCAAGUCACGAAAGUU